rnacentral:lncRNA from 10 species
UCUGAAGUACCAGCUAUAAUAGAAAAGCCGCCGUGGAAACGUCUUCUUGGGGUGCCCCCGAUCGCAAUAACAGUCUGGGUGCACCAUGACAGCUUUCGCUAUGCACACAGUCACUUGGAAAGGAUCCAAUCCAUGAUCCCAAGCUGCCUUUAGUCAUCAUGGCUCCCAACUGUCUUCCAGUCUAAGAUGGUUUCUCCGUAUUUCCUUGCUUCCUCUGGCCUUGGAAGUUUUGAGGCGUGCUGGGUUGAAUUUCUCCACAAGAGCUACAGAAAAAAAUGGCAGUUCAAUUGGUGGCGAUUCAUUCAUUCAUUCAUUCUUCACUCAUUCAUUCAACACUUGCUGAGACACCUUCUCUGCUUCAGGCCCUGGCUUGGUCCUCACAUCAAAGAACUCACGGUUGGUGGCUGGACAUAUGUGGAGACAGACAUGUGACAAACUAAGUGCCGCAGGGAGGGGGACCCUGAGUCCCGCUGGCCCACACUGUCCUGGGUUUGCAUGGUCACAGCUUAUGGACAGAGACUAUGGGAGCUAUGACCAAAACACAGAGAGGGAGGUAAGGGGGUGUUCCCCGCCGUGUCAGGGCAGAGUCAGGUGUGUGAGGAGCAGGGGAAGGUUCCCUGAGCUCAUAGUGAGCCUGGCUGGGGCUGGACUGUGGGGAUGGAAUUCAGACUCAGCCCUAUGACCAAGUAUUUCCUAACGGCACCAGAGACAGGUUCUCUAGUGUCUGUUAUGCAAGGCAAAUUCUCGCUUUAAGUUUCCAUUCCAUUGAUGAUCUAAAAAUAUAUACAACUUAUUCUGGAUACAGGGACCACCUUUAGGAGAUAACAGCUGUGCAGCCUCAGGGGCUGAGUCCAGCUUUCUGAUCAGGCUCAUGUGGAUGCUCCACGGGGAGUGUUGCUGGUGGCCGAGAGGCUGGCCCACCGGAACCUCUGAAGAGCAAGGCUCGCCCCACGCUUGGCACUCAUCCUCAUGCCGCAUUCUCCUGCCAGUUGUAAAGACAACACUUCUCUGGGAGUGACAACUCAUAAUUGAAGGAGGCUUAUGUAAGAUAAGAUUUGAGUUGAAGUUUCAUAGACUAGACUUUGUUUUGACAUCCUGAAAGAACAGAAUGUCAGGGAGUGGAAUGCUGUGUGAGUUGUUGAGGCAAAUGAGGAAGGCCAGUGGAAGCAGACUGCAGGCAAACGACACCUGCAUGCCAAGCCAGGCCAAGAGAGGCUGUUGCACGUUCUAGAAGCAGAGAUUUCUUUGCCCUUGCACACAGGGAAGCAGCAGCAGGUCACGGUGCCUGUCAGGACAUAGCGGGGGCCCAUGGAACCCCAAGGAACUGGCCCAUACAUGCCUCUGAUGCUCUGACUCACAGAAGGCCAUCAGCAGUGAGGAGAAAAUACAGAAUGACUUUUGGAAAGCAAUCGGCUUUUUUUUACAGUAUUGAAUUUUGGAUGCAUGACUAACAUCUGACAAGCCUAUCAUAAUAACUGAGUGGGGACUUAAAUGAGUUCAUGGUUGAAAAGAAAAAGCCAGCAGUAGCAAUAAGGACAGUAACACAGUGAAGGUUUAUCACUCUCAAAAUCAAAGAAUUAACUAAAAAAAAAAGGGAACGCCAAUAUGUGUGACAACCAACAUGCGUGUUUUGGCUUCAGCAAAACGUUACAUUAAAUCAAUGAACAACAUUUGAAUAUUACUGAUUUCAGAUUUUUUAUACUUAAUUUACAAGUGUUUUUUAAUAGGCUCUAACUUAAAGAGUUUACACCUGGUUUCAUUUGUGCAUUUUAAGGUCAUGAUUAUGAUAAAAGUAAUUUAUAUUAAUAUUGGAGGCUCUCAAAGAAAACAUUUUCCUUUAAAAGGAGUCUGUAUAUUAGUCAUGUGUUGGGGGAGCUAAAAAGCCAAGGAGUGACAUGGUCAGAUGUAUUUUCCUGUAAUGUAAAAUGUUGAAUAAACAAGAUGUAACUGGGCCGGGUGUGUUGGGUCACACCUGAUCCUAGCACUCUGGGAGGCUG